GGAAAGUGUUGCAUUCUCUCAUUCAAGGAAUACUUCAGAGGCAUGCAUUUGCAAGUGAAUACCAGAAAUUGGACGGAUGGGGUUCAACGUGUUGGAACAUCAGGCCUUUGUUUCACUUCAAACUCCUUCUUGCCCAAUGACUUUGGUUUCAGAGGUUCUGAGUAUUCCGAUUGACCACAAACCAACAAUCAUUUUCUGCGAAUGGCCUGACCUGAGGCAGAAAAUGCAGAAGAACGUUCAAGUUCAAACAGCCUGAAGGCCGACCAUGGAAACUGACAGGAGCCUCAAAAUGUCAUGAUGGGCCAGAGUGCGUGACGUGGAGGGGCAAGGCCCACGGUGAAAUUAACGAGGGAGAAAUUCGUCAGAGGCCACAUUCUUUGACCCAAGUGUGACCUCACAAUUCCUGAGGCCUCCCACCAGAUGAACAACACUGAGUAAGAUCUAAGAUUACACAUGGUUAAGGAAACGAUCCCAACACAUAUUAGACUGUGGUGAAACACAACGCGAAUAGAUAUUUAGGCAUGAGGGUUUGAAUGACUAAGCUUUUCUGGAGCUGAGAUCAGGCCUCCAUCUCCGCAUACAUCCCUGUCAUGGUCGUAAAACAUUCUGCUCCCACAUCAAGGAGUUUAGUGUAAUUGCUUUGCUCGUCAAGCAAGGGGACAUGGGACAAAACUAAAUCUAAGUAAAGGAGGGGAGCAAGUGUCCUUGAGUGCAGGCAGUGUGUGGCUUGUGGUAACUCUGAGGAGGGAGAUUAUCGGUUUGUGCCAGCUCCACAUUUCUCAACGUAAAGUUUUGGCUUUAGGUUACCAGUCAAGGUGAGAAGGGGUUUUGUAAUUCAAUUCUUGUGGACACGCUGCACUUAUUUAAAGUAACAUUAGCCACCCACUUUUAAUCCUGC
ensembl:lncRNA